GCUCCUCCUCCCCUCAGCUGCAAGUGGGGCAGUGCUCGAGUGUGAGGACUCUUCCUUGGCAUGCGGUAACAGACAAUGCAGAUGUGACUUUUGUGUCCUUCCUUGUUCUUGGCAAGCUUGCCGAGGCAAGGCAAGCGCUACUCAGCUGAGGAAGAAAGCCGAGAAGGAAAGCAGAAAGCAACGAUGAGGGCUUGAGCAAG